rnacentral:rRNA from 1 species
GAUCCUGGCUCAGAUUGAACGCUGGCGGCAGGCCUAACACAUGCAAGUCGAACGGUAACAGAAAGCAGCUUGCUGCUUUGCUGACGAGUGGCGGACGGGUGAGUAAUGUCUGGGAAACUGCCCGAUGGAGGGGGAUAACGUACUGGAAACGGUAGCUAAUACCGCAUAACGUCGCAAGACCAAAGAGGGGACCUCGGGCCUCUGUCCAUCGGAUGUGCCGACGAUGGGAUUAGCUAGUAGGUGGGG